rnacentral:lncRNA from 1 species
CUCGGCAGGAAAUUAACUCCAGCUGUAUAUGGUUUAUAUUCUCCAGGGACCCUGAGAUUCCAGUGAGCCUUGUAUUGCCACUGAAACCCUUGCUACAAAGUGGAAACAAUCUCCCUGCUGUUCAUCAACAACAUAAAUUAUGGCGUGUAUAAACAAUGAGAUGUUCUUCCACCAUGAAAGGAAAUCCUGUUGUAUGCUGUAAUAUGGGUAAAACUUGAAGACAUUGUGUUAACUAUAGUAAGCUCUCACACAAGGACAAAUACUGCCUUAUUAUAUUUAAGAGCCAAACCUGUUUUCCUCAUUGGAGCAGUGUCCACACCAGAGAGGGAUAUGAAGAGAGUGUGGAGCAAGAG